UAACGGCGAGUGAAGCGGGAAGAGCUCACGUUGUGAAUCUGGCCCUCGGGCCCGAACUGUACACUGGAGAGGCGAGGCCAGCCGCUGUCCGCGGCCAAGUCUGAUUGGAAAUGAGCAUCAAGGAGGGUGACAAUCCCGUCCAUGCCGCGGUAUCGAUCAGCGCGCGUCCGGCCCGCUUUCGACGAGUCGAGUUGCUUGGGAUUGCAKCUCAAAGAGGGUGGUAAACUCCAUCCAAAGCUAAACACGGGGGGGAGACCGAUAGCGAACAAGUACCGUGAGGGAAAGAUGCAAAGAACUUUGAAAAGAGAGUUAAAGAGUGCCUGAAAUUGCUGGAAGGGAAGCGAAGGAAAGAGGUGUGCGGUUGCCCGGGCGCCAACCCCUACCUGUUCGCAGGUGGGGGUAGGCCGCCCGGCCGCGGUCAGGGGUAGCGCCGGGCUCGGGGGAAGAGCCGUCGGGGAUCGGUAGGCGUGCCGCUUCGGUGGGGCGUUGUCAGGCCCCGGUGGUGGUGGUGUGUCCAUGCCAAUGGAUGCAUCGAUUGCCCUGAGCCCGGCCCCCUUCUGGCGGUCGCGGCUUUUCUUCACCCCGUCUUGAAACACGGACCAAGGAGUCUAGCGUGGACGCGAGUAGAGGGGUGUCCAAACCCCCUUGCGCAAUGAAGGUGAACGCCGGUGGGAGGYAGUGCUCGUUGCUGCCAGCACCAUCGACCGAGCGUGCUCCUCCGGGGGCAAGGCUUGAGUGUGAGCGUGCAUGCUGGGACCCGAAAGAUGGUGAACUAUGCCUGAAUAGGGCGAAGCCAGGGGAAACUCUGGUGGAGGCUCGUAGCGAUUCUGACGUGCAAAUCGAUCGUGAGAUUUGGGUAUAGGGGCGAAAGACUAAUCGAACCAUCUAGUAGCUGGUUCCCUCCGAAAUUUCCCUCAGGAUAGCAGCGGCCGAGUUGGACAGUUUUAUCAGGUAAAGCGAAUGAUUAGAGGCUGCGGGGGAGUAGCUCCCUCGCCCUAUUCUCAAACUUUAAAUGGGUAAGGAGCUGGGGUCGCUUGGUUGGACCC
rnacentral:rRNA from 1 species